AUUGAACGCUGGCGGCAGGCCUAACACAUGCAAGUCGAGCGGAGCGGCGGACGGGUGAGUAAUGCCUAGGAAUCUGCCUGGUAGUGGGGGAUAACGUACGGAAACGGGCGCUAAUACCGCAUACUAUCAGAUGAGCCUAGGUCGGAUGAGCUAGUUGGUGGGGUAAAGGCCUACCAAGGCGACGAUCCGAAACUGGUCCGAGAGGAUAAUCAGUCACACUGGAACUGAGACACGGUCCGGACUCCUACGGAAGGCAGCGGUGGGGAAUAUUGGACAAGGGGCGAAGGCCUGAUCCAGCCAUGCCGCGUGUGUGAAGAAGGUUUUCGGAUUGUAAAGCACUUUAAGUUGGGAGGCGUUACCAACAGAAUAAGCACCGGCUAACUUCGUGCCAGCCGCCGCGGUAAUUC
rnacentral:rRNA from 1 species